rnacentral:rRNA from 1 species
UCCUACGGGGGGCAGCAGUGGGGGAUAUUGCACAAUGGGGGGAACCCUGAUGCAGCGACGCCGCGUGGGUGAAGGAGCGUUUCGGCGCGUAAAGCCCUAUCGGCAGGGAAGAAUAAUGACGGUACCUGACUAAGAAGCCCCGGCUAACUACGUGCCAGCAGCCGCGGUAAUACGUAGGGGGCAAGCGUUAUCCGGAUUUACUGGGUGUAAAGGGAGCGUAGACGGCUGUGCAAGUCUGAAGUGAAAUGCCGGGGCCCAACCCCGGAACUGCUUUGGAAACUGUACAGCUAGAGUGCAGGAGGGGG